GCUGCUCGAAAAAUGCACACCGCUACGAGGUGAGCAGCAGACAACACAGCAGAGACUGUGGCUAAGAGGCAAGA
rnacentral:ribozyme from 2 species